UGCUGGUGUAGAUGUGUCACAGU
rnacentral:miRNA from 1 species